rnacentral:misc_RNA from 1 species
GAUGAAGAACGUAGCGAAAUGCGAUAAGUAGUGUGAAUUGCAGAAUUCAGUGAAUCAUCGAAUCUUUGAACGCAUAUUGCGCUCUCUGGUAUUCCGGAGAGCAUGCUUGUUUGAGUAUCAGUAAACACCUCAACUCCCCUUUCUUUUUUUGAAAUGGGAGCUGGACUUGAGUGAUCCCAACGCUUUUCUCACCGAAAAGUGGCGGGUUACUUGAAAUGCAGGUGCAGCUGGACUUUUCUCUGAGCUAAAAGCAUAUCUAUUUAGUCUGCCUAAAAAACAGAUUAUUACCUUUGCUGCAGCUAACAUAAAGGAGAUUAGUUCUUGUGCUGACUGAUGCAGGAUUCACAGAGACAGCUUCGGCUGGCCUUUGUAAACUCGAUCUCAAAUCAAGUAAGACUACCCGCUGAACUUAAGCAUAUCAAUAAGCGGAGGA